rnacentral:misc_RNA from 1 species
GGAGAACAAGGAGAAAAUAUUGUGAAAAUGAAAAACUAAACUCCAACGCACAUGGAUAAUGACCUUAAAGCAUAUUUAUAUAAAAGUUUUCAGAAACCAUGCACAAUUCUAGAGCAAGUCUUCUUGAUCCAACGAAACCCUUUCUUUAAAGAACAUUUAACCUUGCCUUCAAUACCAUAAAGUUUAUAUUGGGCAACUCUUUUUUUCCUCUUGGUCUCAGGAGCAUUCCACAAGGAGAUGAUUGUUUGAGACGAGUGUUUAUGGUUAUGGGUCGGCGGAGGUUCCGUUGAAGAAUAAUAAUGUGGCCUGCCGGGAGGAUCAAAGGAGGAACGAGACCGGCCAACGUAGAGUUUGCUCAGUGUUUUUGUGGGAAUGCCAUUGAAGGUCUCGGCACCCAUGUUUGAUCACCUACCCUGCCCCACCUCUUCCUCUCCCUCCCUCUGGGACUCUCUGGUUUGAUUGAGGUGAGGGGAGACUCUGUUUGUUGUUGAAAAGGCCCUUUUAUUGCGGGGAAGUAGAGGUGGAGGAAGCUUAUGUUUUUAGUUUUGGGAGAAGGAAUGUCAAAUUAGGAAAGUUUGGAUUGUGGAAUUCAAUUGCUGUUGGUCAAUGCUGGUCUGUUUCUUUCAUGACAGAUACUCCUUGUGACAGCUACACUUCCUCUGGUUUAAUCCAAAAUCAAAACUGAAUCGGAGCUCCACAUGCCUGUACCAAACUGAAACUAUUUUCUCUCUUCUUUGGAUCGAGCCAAAAUCAGAUUGGUCUGAUUCAAGCCAGCAAAUUUUUCAUAAAAAUUUAAAAAUCUUAAAACUUUGAUCUCACCCUCUGAAGCCUUUCUACUUUUAGGUCCUUUCUUUGGUUUUUUGGGGUUAUCCACGUGAGAAACCUACAUAUAAAUCCAAGGGGAAAUAAAAAAUAUGCAAAAUAUGUGGCACCGAUUAAAUAAAUAAAAGUCCAAUUGUAUGCAAAAGCCCUGAAUCAAAGAUCUGCACACAGCAUAGUUUUGUCAUGCCCAUAUACAUCAGCAGCCAUUAGCAAAAUUUAAUUUGCAAUGAUUAAGUGUUCAUUUAAAUUCUGUGUACUACAUUCCAUCUACCUACAUUAACAACAAGGAUAAGGAUAAGACGGAUUGUAUGAUUUAAUGAUAUGUACCGGAGUAGAGAAGAACAGGGGAUAACUAUGUACCAAAGCAGUUGAAACAGGAGGCCAAGAACUAGUAGUCACGUCCAUAUGCAAGCAAUGCAGCAUAUGAAUUUGCAUGUUAUAUUCCUCAUCUCCCCAGUUCCCCUUUAUAAUUAACGAGAUCCAGUGUAUAAGCUAUAUAAGUUUCUAUUAUACGGUGAGUGACUAACGUCCAUUGUGAUAGUAUUUUCAGCUUUUUGAUGAUUCUGAAGUGCACAACUGCCCCUCAACCAACAACUGUUGCCGGAAUACCUGAAUAUGAACAAAAAUAGCUAUCAAAAAGAGCAAGAAUUUUACAAUCUGAAUUAUAUUGAUUUGCUGAAGAAAGGAUAAUAAUAUUAGUGAGCUGAAAAAUUUUACAAUGUUGAAUUGUGCUAAUUCCUUUUUCAGUUCUCUCUCCAUGUCCUCUCCAACAGGUAAAGCAGUUUUGUUCCCAGCUUGCCUGAAUAUCUUCCAUAAAAACUUUAGGUCAGCACAUGAGAACUUAUGGGACAUACAGCAUUGGAAUGAAAAUUCAUCAUGAAAAAUGGAGAAAGGAAUUUGAUUCUGUUUGACUCUAAGCUCCAUUAAUAACAACUAUAACAGAAGAAGAAAAGAAUAGAAGCCAUGUGAGUUCUUGCAAGCAAUGCACAGUGUUUCUUUUGCCUUUGUUUUGCAGCACAAUAGUUUCAUACCUACCUUGCUUAUUUUACAUUCUGCUAUAAUGUUUCAUUUUGAAUUCUUACCAUUGCUCUCAUCUCUCCUCUCAUGCCUAGAAAUUUAUUUGUUGUAAAAAUCAAUUAAAAAGAUAAAAUUAAUGAAACAAAUAUAUCUGAUACUUCAAAGAUGCAUCUUACCCCCUUUUUGUUUCUCCCCCCUUCCAUUUUUUCUCUUUUGAGUGGACAAGCAUCUAUGCAAUUCCUCAUGAUAUAAAAACUAUAAAAAUGAUGGCCAAUAAUAGUUCCUAUGAAAAGCCAUUGCUAAUAGUAUUUUUGCAA